rnacentral:rRNA from 1 species
AGAGUUUGAUCCUGGCUCAGGACGAACGCUGGCGGCGUGCCUAAUACAUGCAAGUCGAGCGAUGAAACCCUUCGGGGUGGAUUAGCGGCAGACGGGUGAGUAACACGUAACCAAUCUACCUUACCGUCCGGGAUAACUAACCGAAAGGUUAGCUAAUACCUGAUGCGACUAUCGAGCGGCAUCGUUUGAUAGUGAAAGCA